rnacentral:rRNA from 1 species
CAGCAGCCGCGGUAAUACGUAGGUGGCAAGCGUUGUCCGGAAUUAUUAGGCGUAAAGGGCUCGCAGGCGGUUUCUUAAGUCUGAUGUGAAAGCCCCCGGCUCAACCGGGGAGGGUUAUUGGAAACUGGGAAACUUGAGUGCAGAAGAGGAGAGUGGAAUUCCACGUGUAGCGGUGAAAUGCGUAGAGAUGUGGAGGAACACCAGUGGCGAAGGCGACUCUCUGGUCUGUAACUGACGCUGAGGAGCGAAAGCGUGGGGAGCGAACAGGAUUAGAUACCCCAGUAGUCCCUGUCUCUUAUAC